rnacentral:lncRNA from 1 species
GGGGGGGGGGGGUUUGUUUGUUUGUUUGUUUGUUUGUUUGUUUGUUUGUUUCUGUAUGGGGUCUAUAUUAUUGUUACCGGAGAAGUUUCAUGUUUAGUUUGGAAAGUUUUUAUUUUAUUUUAGGUACAGCGCGCGCGCCAGAUUGAGGAGACAUCACGUGACUUGGGUUUAUAAUAACGAAAACUUAGUCUUUUUAUUUCUCUUUAGGUGGGGACGUUGAACAGACAACAUGUAUAGAGACGGAAUGUACACAAUGUAAUUUCUUUUGUCAUUGUAGGAAAUUGACAUUUUGAUCACAGUUCACCAGCAGUGCAUGUUUUGGAUUUAAUUGUUCCGGUGUAAC